AAUCGACGCUGGCGGCGUGCCUCAGACAUGCAAGUCGAACGAGAAAGUCCCCUUCGGGGGGUGAGUAAAGUGGCGCACGGGUGAGUAACACGUAGGUAAUCUACCUUCGGGUGGGGAAUAACCCAGGGAAACUUGGGCUAACACCGCAUAAUGCAGCGGCACCACAUGGUGACAGUUGUUAAAGCGGGGGAUUUUAGGACCUCGCGCCUGAAGAGGAGCCUGCGGCGGAUUGGCUAGUUGGUAGGGAACGGCUUACCAAGGCUUCGAUCUGUAGCUGGUCUGAGAGGACGGCCAGCCACACUGGCACUGACACACGGGCCAGACUCCUACGGGAGGCAGCAGUGGGGAAUUUUGGGCAGUGGGCGAAAGCCUGACCCAGCAACGCCGCGUGAGGGAGGAAAUCC
rnacentral:rRNA from 1 species